rnacentral:rRNA from 1 species
GACGAACGCUGGCGGCGUGCCUAAUACAUGCAAGUCGAGCGGACGGAUGGGAGCUUGCUCCCAGACCGUCAGCGGCGGACGGGUGAGUAACACGUGGGCAACCUGCCUGUAAGACUGGGAUAACUCCGGGAAACCGGGGCUAAUACCGGAUAACUCUUUCCCUCACAUGAGGGAAAGCUGAAAGAUGGCAUCUCGCUAUCACUUACAGAUGGGCCCGCGGCGCAUUAGCUAGUUGGUGAGGUAACGGCUCACCAAGGCGACGAUGCGUAGCCGACCUGAGAGGGUGAUCGGCCACACUGGGACUGAGACACGGCCCAGACUCCUACGGGAGGCAGCAGUAGGGAAUCUUCCGCAAUGGACGAAAGUCUGACGGAGCAACGCCGCGUGAGUGAUGAAGGUGUUCGGAUCGUAAAACUCUGUUGUCAGGGAAGAACAAGUACCGGAGUAACUGCCGGUACCUUGACGGUACCUGAUCAGAAAGCCACGGCUAACUACGUG